rnacentral:rRNA from 1 species
GACGAACGCUGGCGACGUGCCUAAUACAUGCAAGUCGAGCGGACCAAAGGGAGCUUGCUCCUGGAGGUUAGCGGCGAACGGGUGAGUAACACGUGGGCAACCUGCCUGUAAGACUGGGAUAACAUCGAGAAAUCGGUGCUAAUACCGGAUAAUAAAAAGAACUGCAUGGUUCUUUUUUGAAAGAUGGUUUCGGCUAUCACUUACAGAUGGGCCCGCGGCGCAUUAGCUAGUUGGUGAGGUAACGGCUCACCAAGGCGACGAUGCGUAGCCGACCUGAGAGGGUGAUCGGCCACACUGGGACUGAGACACGGCCCAGACUCCUACGGGAGGCAGCAGUAGGGAAUCUUCCGCAAUGGACGAAAGUCUGACGGAGCAACGCCGCGUGAGUGAUGAAGGUUUUCGGAUCGUAAAACUCUGUUGUUAGGGAAGAACAAGUGCCGUUCGAAAGGGCGGCACCUUGACGGUACCUAACGAGAAAGCCACGGCUAACUACGUGCCAGCAGCCGCGGU